CCGCCCGCCGCGCGCGGCGGGCGGGGCGGGGGCACGGGGGGCCUACGGGAGGCAGCAGUGAGGAAUCUUCCACAAUGGGCGAAAGCCUGAUGGAGCAACGCCGCGUGCAGGAUGAAGGCCUUCGGGUCGUAAACUGCUUUUAUUUGUGAAGAAUAUGACGGUAACAAAGAUAAGAUGGAC
rnacentral:rRNA from 1 species